rnacentral:rRNA from 1 species
GACGAACGCUGGCGGCGUGCUUAACACAUGCAAGUCGAGCGGUAAGGCCCUUUCGGGGGUACGACGAGCGGCGAACGGGUGAGUAACACGUGGGUGACCUGCCCUCAGCUCUGGGAUAAGCCUGGGAAACGUGGGUCUAAUACCGGAUAUGACUCCAUGACGCAUGUUGUGGGGUGGAAAGCCUUGUGCGGCUGGGGAUGGGCCCGCGGCCUAUCAGCUUGUUGGUGGGGUGAUGGCCUACCAAGGCGACGACAGGUAGCCGGCCUGAGAGGGCGACCGGCCACACUGGGACUGAGACACGGCCCAGACUCCUACGGGAGGCAGCAGUGGGGAAUCUUGCGCAAUGGGCGAAAGCCUGACGCAGCGACGCCGCGUGAGGGAUGACGGCCU